rnacentral:rRNA from 1 species
UGCAGUCGAACGGAAAGGCCCCGCUUGCGGGGUACUCGAGUGGCGAACGGGUGAGUAACACGUGGGUGAUCUGCCCUGCACUUCGGGAUAAGCCUGGGAAACUGGGUCUAAUACCGGAUAGGACCCCUCUUUAGUGUGGGGGGUGGAAAGUUUUUUCGGUGUGGGAUGAGCCCGCGGCCUAUCAGCUUGUUGGUGGGGUAAUGGCCUACCAAGGCGUCGACGGGUAGCCGGCCUGAGAGGGUGGACGGCCACAUUGGGACUGAGAUACGGCCCAGACUCCUACGGGAGGCAGCAGUGGGGAAUAUUGCACAAUGGGCGGAAGCCUGAUGCAGCGACGCCGCGUGGGGGAUGACGGCCUUCGGGUUGUAAACCUCUUUCGCUAGGGACGAAGCUUUUGUGACGGUACCUAGAUAAGAAGCACCGGCUAACUACGUGCCAGCAGCCGCGGUAAUACGUAGGGUGCGAGCGUUGUCCGGAAUUACUGGGCGUAAAGAGCUCGUAGGUGGUUUGUCGCGUCGUCUGUGAAAUUCCGGGGCUUAACUUCGGGCGUGCAGGCGAUACGGGCAAUACUUGAGUGCUGUAGGGGAGACUGGAAUUCCUGGUGUAGCGGUGGAAUGCGCAGAUAUCAGGAGGAACACCGAUGGCGAAGGCAGGUCUCUGGGCAGUAACUGACGCUGAGGAGCGAAAGCAUGGGUAGCGAACAGGAUUAGAUACCCUGGUAGUCCAUGCCGUAAACGGUGGGCGCUAGGUGUAGGGGUCUUCCACGACUUCUGUGCCGUAGCUAACGCAUUAAGCGCCCCGCCUGGGGAGUACG